CGUCAGAGGCUGUGGAAUGGCGACUGGCGAACCCCGCCAGGUUCGGAAGAAAGCAACGGUAGUCUGUUCGACAUUGCCGCAGUUCUCUGGCACUU
rnacentral:SRP_RNA from 2 species